rnacentral:rRNA from 1 species
AACGAACGCUGGCGGCAGGCCUAACACAUGCAAGUCGAGCGCUCACCUUCGGGUGGGAGCGGCGCACGGGUGAGUAACACGUGGGAACCUACCUUGAAGUACGGAAUAACUGAGGGAAACUUCAGCUAAUACCGUAUACGCCCUACGGGGGAAAGAUUUAUCGCUUCAGGACGGGCCCGCGUUGGAUUAGCUAGUUGGUGAGGUAACGGCUCACCAAGGCAACGAUCCAUAGCUGAUUUGAGAGAAUGAUCAGCCACACUGGGACUGAGACACGGCCCAGACUCCUACGGGUGGCAGCAGUGGGGAAUAUUGGACAAUGGGCGCAAGCCUGAUCCAGCCAUGCCGCGUGAGUGAUGAAGGCCUUCGGGUUGUAAAGCUCUUUCAGAUGGGACGAUGAUGACGGUACCAUCAGAAGAAGCCCCGGCUAACUUCGUGCCAGCCGCCGCCGUAACAC